GUUUCUGUGCCGGGAUGGUGCCCCAUGACUGCCCCUUAGGACUGCUCUUCAUUUUUGGCUUUUUGCUCUGACUCUUUGGUUUGGUUUCCUAACCUUCUCUUGUCCGACCACAAUUCCUGGUGUCCCGCAUCUCUGUUGUCCACCUCCUCCUCACAGCACCUGUCUGCACAGUGGUAUCUAUCGCAAAGCACUGGUCUUCUC
rnacentral:lncRNA from 1 species